rnacentral:misc_RNA from 1 species
GAUGCUCUAUUGUCAUACUUAACUAUUAACUAUAGAACUUUAACACUACUAGAAGGAACUUGUACAAGUUGUUGAGCAAUAUCCAUAAACUCAAGUUCCCCUCCGUUUCGAUAUUUUAUCAGAAGUCUCGCAGCAUCUUCUUUUUUCAUUAAGAUUUUCACUUUUAUAACCCCAUCAUCAUUCGAAAUAUUAGCACCUUCUUGUACUUUUGUUUUCUCCUCUUGAAUAAUUGUAUUUUUCUCAAAAGUGCUAUUCUUUUCGUUUUCCUCUUCUUCUGGUUCUAAAUCAAAUCUCACCCGUUUCUUGAUUUUAGGCUUUUUUUUAUCUAACUCAUCUCUAUACACAUAAGUAGUAGUAGUAGUGAUAUUACUACUUUCAACAAUUUUGGUUUUUCUUGAUUUAUUUUUUUCACCAAAGUGAAUUCCCUUAACAAAAGACCUCCCAAAUCCCAUAAUUUUUAGAAAAAAAUAUUGAACUAAUAUGGAGAUUUAGGAGGA